CCAAUAGCGUAUAUUAAAGUUGUUGCAGUUAAAAAGCUCGUAGUUGAACUUCGGGGUUUACCCAUUGGUCAGGCUUAAUUGUCUGUACUGGUGAGCUGAAUCUCUACCUUCUGAGGAACUUUCAUGCCAUUUAUUUGGUGUGAUGGGAAAUCAGGACUGUUACUUUGAAAAAAUUAGAGUGUUUAAAGCAGGCUAACGUCUGAAUACAUUAGCAUGGAAUAAUGAAAUAGGACGGACUGAUUCUAUUUCGUUGGUUUCUAGGAUCACCGUAAUGAUUAAUAGGGAUAGUUGGGGGCAUUAGUAUUCAAUUGUCAGAGGUGAAAUUCUUGGAUUUAUUGAAGACUAACUACUGCGAAAGCAUUUGCCAAGGAUGUUUUCAUUAAUCAAGAACGAAAGUUAGGGGAUCGAAGACGAUCAGAUACCGUCGUAGUCUUAACCAUAAACUAUGCCGACUAGGGAUCGGAUGAUGUUAAUUUUUUAAUGACUCAUUCGGCGCCUUACG
rnacentral:rRNA from 1 species